rnacentral:rRNA from 1 species
UACGAAGGGGGCUAGCGUUGUUCGGAAUCACUGGGCGUAAAGCGCACGCAGGCGGAUCGUUAAGUCAGGGGUGAAAUCCCGAGGCUCAACCUCGGAACUGCCUUUGAUACUGGCGAUCUUUGAGUCCGGGAGAGGUGAGUGGAACUCCGAGUGUAGAGGUGAAAUUCGUAGAUAUUCGGAAGAACACCAGUGGCGAAGGCGGCUCACUGGCCCGGUACUGACGCUCAUGUGCGAAAGCGUGGGAGCAAACAGG